UCGCAGAACCUUACCAGCCCUUGACAUGGCAGGACGGAUCCGGAGACGGACUCCUUCUCGCAAGAGACCUGUGCUAGCCCCCGAAGGACACGGGCUUUCACCCGCUUUAACUAGCAUGUCAAGCCCAGGUAAGGUUCUUCGCGUUGCAUCGAAUUAAAGAACAUGCUCCGCUGCUUGUGCGGGCCCCCGUCAAUUCUUUUGAGUUUUAGCCUUGCGGCCGUACUCCCCAGGCGGAACACUUAUCGCGUUGGCUUCGGCACAGACAGAUUCGACUCCGCCCACACCUAGUGUUCAUCGUUUACGGCGUGGACUAC
rnacentral:misc_RNA from 1 species